UACGUAGGACGCAAGCGUUAUCCGGAAUUACUGGGCGUAAAGAGCGUGUAGGCGGUGCUGUAAGUCAACCGUGAAAGCUCCCGGCUAAACUGGGAGAGGUCGGAUGAGACUGCAGCGCUAGUGGGUCGUAGAGGAAUGUGGAAUUCCGGGUGUAGUGGUGAAAUGCGUAGAGAUCCGGAGGAACACCAGAGGCGAAGGCGGCAUUCUGGACGACAUCAGACGCUGAGACGCGACAGCACGGGGAGCGAACGGG
rnacentral:rRNA from 1 species